GCUCGUCUCAAAGAUUAAGCCAGGCAUGUGUAGGUGUGAAUAUAAAAGUUUGGUACUGCGAAUGGCUCAUUAUAUCAGUUAUAAUUUAUUUGGUGAAGUGUACUACUCGGAUAACCGUAGUGAUACUAGGGCUAAUACAUGAGAAAGUCCUCUGGUGAGGUGUGUUUAUUAGAAUGAAAACCAUAUGCUUCGGCAUUAUAGAGAGUAAUAGUAACCUAUCGUAUCGCAUGCUUAAUGUAGCGAUGAGUCUUUCAAGCUUCUGCCCUAUCAUCUUUCGAUGGUAGUAUAUGGGCCUACCAUG
rnacentral:rRNA from 1 species